rnacentral:rRNA from 1 species
CCUACGGGGGGCAGCAGUAGGGAAUAUUGCUCAAUGGGGGAAACCCUGAAGCAGCAACGCCGCGUGGGGGAUGAAGGUUUUCGGAUUGUAAACUCCUUUUGUUAGAGAAGAUAAUGACGGUAUCUAACGAAUAAGCACUGGCUAACUCCGUCCCAGGAGCCACGGUAAUACGGAGGGUGCAAGCGUUACGCGGAAUCACUGGGCGUAAAGAGCGCGUAGGCGGGAUGGCAAGUACGCUGUGAAAUCCUAUGGCUUAACCAUAGAACUGCCUUUGAAACUGUGAUUCUAGAGUAGGGGAGAGGUAGGUGGAAUGCUUGGUGUAGGGGUAAAAUCCGUAGAGAUCAAGAGGAAUACUCAUUGCGAAGGCGACCUGCUAGAACAUAACUGACGCUGAUGCGCGAAAGCGUGGGGAGCAAACAGGAUUAGAUACCCGAGUAGUC